rnacentral:rRNA from 1 species
AACGAACGCUGGCGGCAGGCUUAACACAUGCAAGUCGAACGCCCCGCAAGGGGAGUGGCAGACGGGUGAGUAACGCGUGGGAAUCUACCUAGUUCUACGGAACAACUGAGGGAAACUUCAGCUAAUACCGUAUACGCCCUACGGGGGAAAGAUUUAUCGGAAUUAGAUGAGCCCGCGUUGGAUUAGCUAGUUGGUGGGGUAAUGGCCUACCAAGGCGACGAUCCAUAGCUGGUCUGAGAGGAUGAUCAGCCACACUGGGACUGAGACACGGCCCAGACUCCUACGGGAGGCAGCAGUGGGGAAUAUUGGACAAUGGGCGCAAGCCUGAUCCAGCCAUGCCGCGUGAGUGAUGAAGGCCUUAGGGUUGUAAAGCUCUUUCAGUGGGGAAGAUAAUGACGGUACCCACAGAAGAAGCCCCGGCUAACUUCGUGCCAGCAGCCGCCGUAAAAC